UUGUGAACAGUUUUUUUUAUAUAUAAAGAAGAAACUAGUAUUGUGUUUUAAAAUGUCUAAUUGUGGGUAGUGAAAUGUAUUUUACAAUUUAUUCUGUAACUAUAAUGAAUGUAAUGAUUUCAUAAAUAUAAUUUAGUUCUCAUUAGUAGUAGUGAAAUUUGUAUUUAAGACUUGGAAAACUCAACAUAACAACCAAGUUAUACAAUAUACCUACUGAUUUAUUUAAUACUAUACGUAAUAUCAUAUUAUUAUAUGGCCAAUUAACAGUUGUUAAUUAUAGUUUAACUGGAAUAAAUGUUGAUGACUAACCGCUAGAAAGCUCAGGACAUUUUUUAAGAAGAUUACUGGAAAGAUAAUGAUGUGUUGAAACCUUAAUGUACAAUUUGUCACUGAUUACAAUAGUCAGUAUUGGUUUAUCAAGCUACAUAUCAAUAUGUCAUUUAUGAUUAUUCAGUUACUAGUUAGAUGAAGAAAAUAUUGCUUUCUACUUGGAAUCUUAGAAGAAUAAAAUAUUAGCAUUUAACACAACCAUACUCAACCAGCGGCCCCUGGGCUGCAUACAGCCCGCCGAUUAUUUUUAUGUGGCCCAAAAAGAACUCAUAUUAUAAAUAUUU